rnacentral:rRNA from 1 species
AGAGCGAACGCUGGCGGCAGGCCUAACACAUGCAAGUCGAGCGCCCGUAGCAAUACGGGAGCGGCAGACGGGAUAGUAACACGUGGGAACGCGCCCUUCGGUUCGGAAUAACUCAGGGAAACUUGAGCUAAUACCGGAUACGCCCUUACGGGGAAAGAUUUAUUGCCGAAGGAACGGCCCGCGUCCGAUUAGCUAGUUGGUGAGGUAAUGGCUCACCAAGGCGACGAUCGGUAGCUGGUCUGAGAGGAUGACCAGCAUCACUGGGACUGAGACACGGCCCAGACUCCUACGGGAGGCAGCAGUGGGGAAUAUUGGACAAUGGGCGCAAGCCUGAUCCAGCCAUGCCGCGUGGAUGAUGAAGGCCCUAGGGUUGUAAAGUCCUUUCGACGGGGAAGAUAAUGACGGUACCCGUAGAAGAAGCCCCGGCUAACUCGUGCCAGCAGCCGC